CUCUGCGGACUCCGUCCCGACCUGCCCUGGGUGUUGUUGGUGAGUAUGGGCGGUAUGGAGCUACUGGAGCGGAGGGUGAAGCCUCGCCGGCCCACAGCCGAGCAACCCGAGCCGCAUGCGGAGCAGCGCAGCAGGGAGCGCGGCGCUGCGGGGCGCGGGGCGCGGGGUCGGGAAGGGGACUCCCGAGGCCGGCCUGGUGCAGCUGAGUGAGGCGGCGGCGGCGGCGGCGCUGCUGUCCUUCCAUCAUCUGCGAGUUCAGCUCGGGAGCACCACCAACAACACAGCGUGAGCGAGUGACUCUGUAAGCUGUGCUGUGAUGUUGGAGGUGCUGCACUCGAUGGCUGGUCUCUCCACUCCCCUAAUACAUGAAGCAGGUUUUCCUCUUCAACGGAGCCAAGGAGAACAUUCUCCAUCCUCCAGGGGCGGUGUUCCAGACAGAUAACGGAACCAGGACUUAAACAUAAUUUACACUACUUCAUACCACUCUGUGCCUGCUCUUAUGCAAAUACAAUAAAUCUGCCUUAUAUGCCAUGUAAA